GCGGCUGUCAUAUAACGGCUAUUAUACGACCUUCCCAAGGUUGAUACGGGGGUUCGACUCCCCUCAGCCGCU
rnacentral:tRNA from 1 species